rnacentral:pre_miRNA from 11 species
GACCACACGAGAUAAUCGAUUAUCCCAUGCGGUCAAAUUAUACGGACGCACGGGAUAAUCGAUUAUCCCGUGCGGUU